UACGUAGGGGGCAAGCGUUAUCCGGAUUUACUGGGUGUAAAGGGAGCGUAGACGGCAGAGCAAGUCUGAAGUGAAAGCCCGCGGCCCAACUGCGGGACUGCCUUGGAAACUGCCCGGCUAGAGUGCUGGAGAGGUAAGCGGAAUUCCUAGUGUAGCGGUGAAAUGCGUAGAUAUUAGGAGGAACACCAGUGGCGAAGGCGGCUUACUGGACAGUAACUGACGUUGAGGCUCGAAAGCGUGGGGAGCAAACAGG
rnacentral:rRNA from 1 species